AUCACAAAUAUCACUUAAAUACAUCUCAAUUCAAUAUUAAUUUAAUUCUAGUUAAAAUCCUAUUGAACUUCAUUCAAACUUGAGGCCAAAAAUAAUUGAAUCUUAAAUCCUAAUAAAAUCCUAAACCCUAAAUCAAACCCUAAACAAACCUUAAACCAAACCCCAACCAAAUUCUAAACCAAAUCCUAAUCAAAUCCUAACCAAAUCCUAAACCAAAUCCUGAUCCAAACUCUAAAUAAAACCCUAACCAAAUCCUAAAUCAAACUCUAACCAAACCCUAAACAAACCAUAAACCAAAUCCCAACCAAAUCCUAAACCAAAUCCUAACCAAACCCUAACCAAAUCCUAAAUCAAAUCCUAAAUCAAAUCCUAAUAUAAAUCCUAAACCCUAAAUCAAACCCUAACCAAAUUCUAAA
rnacentral:lncRNA from 1 species